AGAGUUUGAUCCUGGCUCAGGAUGAACGCUGACAGAAUGCUUAACACAUGCAAGUCGAUGGGGAAGUGGUGCUUGCACCAUGGUAACCAUGGCGGACGGGUGAGUAACGCGUAAGGGACUUACCUGCAGGACUGGGAUAACAGGGGGAAACUCCUGACAAGACCGGAUAAUGUCAUGGAGCUGCAUGGCUUUAUGAUGAAAGGAGACGCCUGCGGAGAGCCUUGCGUCCUAUUAGCUAGUUGGUUGGGUAACGGCUGACCAAGGCGAAGAUAGGUAGCCGGCCUGAGAGGGUGGACGGCCACAAGGGGACUGAGAUACGGCCCUUACUCCUACGGGAGGCAGCAGUGGGGAAUAUUGGACAAUGGGGGCAACCCUGAUCCAGCAAUUCUGUGUGCACGAUGAAGGUUUUCGGAUUGUAAAGUGCUUUCAGCAGGGAAGAAAAAAAUGACGGUACCUGCAGAAGAAGCGACGGCUAAAUACGUGCCAGCAGCCGCGGUAAUACGUAUGUCGCAAGCGUUAUCCGGAAUUAUUGGGCAUAAAGGGCAUCUAGGCGGCCAGAUAAGUCUGGGGUGAAAACUUGCGGCUCAACCGCAAGCCUGCCCUGGAAACUGUUUGGCUAGAGUGCUGGAGAGGUGGACGGAACUGCACGAGUAGAGGUGAAAUUCGUAGAUAUGUGCAGGAAUGCCGAUGAUGAAGAUAGUUCACUGGACGGUAACUGACGCUGAAGUGCGAAAGCUAGGGGAGCAAACAGGAUUAGAUACCCUGGUAGUCCUAGCUGUAAACGAUGAUUACUGGGUGUGGGCAUGAAGAGUGUCCGUGCCGAAGCUAAUGCGAUAAGUAAUCCGCCUGGGGAGUACGGCCGCAAGGCUGAAACUCAAAGGAAUUGACGGGGACCCGCACAAGCGGUGGAGCAUGU
rnacentral:rRNA from 1 species